UGAGUGCUAAGUGUUGGAGGGUUUCCGCCCUUCAGUGCUGGAGUUAACGCAUUAAGCACUCCGCCUGGGGAUUACGACCGCAAGGUUGAAACUCAAAAGAAUUGACGGGGACCCGCACAAGCGGUGGAGCAUGUGGUUUAAUUCGAAGCAACGCGAAGAACCUUACCAGCUCUUGACAUCUUCUGCCACCUUCAGAGAUGAAGGGUUCCCUUCGGGGACAGAAUGACAGGUGGUGCAUGGCUGUCGUCAG
rnacentral:rRNA from 1 species